UAGGGAAGUCUUCCACAAUGGGCGGAAAGACCUGAUGGAGCAACGCCGCGUGUGUGAUGAAGGGUUUCGGCUCGUAAAACACUGUUGUAAGAGAAGAAUGACAUUGAGAGUAACUGUUCAAUGUGUGACGGUAUCUUACCAGAAAGGAACGGCUAAAUACGUGCCA
rnacentral:rRNA from 1 species